rnacentral:rRNA from 1 species
GACGAACGCUGGCGGCGUGCUUAACACAUGCAAGUCGAACGGAAAGGCCCUGCUUUUGUGGGGUGCUCGAGUGGCGAACGGGUGAGUAACACGUGAGUAACCUGCCCUUGACUUUGGGAUAACUUCAGGAAACUGGGGCUAAUACCGGAUAGGAGCUCCUGCUGCAUGGUGGGGGUUGGAAAGUUUCGGCGGUUGGGGAUGGACUCGCGGCUUAUCAGGUUGUUGGUGGGGUAGUGGCUUACCAAGGCUUUGACGGGUAGCCGGCCUGAGAGGGUGACCGGCCACAUUGGGACUGAGAUACGGCCCAGACUCCUACGGGAGGCAGCAGUGGGGAAUAUUGCACAAUGGGCGGAAGCCUGAUGCAGCAACGCCGCGUGCGGGAUGACGGCCUUCGGGUUGUAACCCGUUUUCGCCUGUGACGAAGCGUGAGUGACGGUAAUGGGUAAAGAAGCACCGGCUAACUACGUG